GAAGGACUGUGCCAGGAGGGAGGCCAGGAACUGGUCGUGCGCCAGGCGGAUGUUCUCGAAGUCUCGUGUAGCCUGGAUCUUCUCCACCAGCUGGGAGAACUGCGUCUCCAGAACGUCAACCUGAAAACAACAGAGGGCUCAAUGAACUUUUAUCCUUGGAGGGGUACAUCACUUGAGUGGAUGAAAUCCAUAAUUUUCUGCUCGAGUAUCAUCUUGAGCAAGAUUCUCCAGUUGCUGUCAGCUUAGGGUGAGGAUGGACAACUGCUCCCACUCGAUGCUCGACUAGUCACUGUCUUCAACCGUAUCUAUGGCAACGGUACAGUGGUGCAGGAGCAGAAAGUCACAGAGCUGGGAGUGAACCAAGUGGGAACAGAGGGGGAGAACUCAGAGAAUGAGAAGAAUGCUGGCCUGUCCUUGCUAACUGUACAGAACGAGUUCCAUGGAGAUACUGGUUUAGAUGAGCUGAAGAGCAUGGUACAGGGCCUACAGACUGCAGUGGAUGACCUAACUUCUCUCUUGACUGAGAAAAUAGGCCAGACAAGUGAAAAAGGCUUGGAAAAUACUCAUGAAGAUGUCAAAAACU